GACGAACGCUGGCGGCGUGCUUAACACAUGCAAGUCGAACGGAAAGGCCCUGCUUUUGUGGGGUGCUCGAGUGGCGAACGGGUGAGUAACACGUGAGUAACCUGCCCUUGACUUUGGGAUAACUUCAGGAAACUGGGGCUAAUACCGGAUAGGAGCUCCUGCUGCAUGGUGGGGGUUGGAAAGUUUCGGCGGUUGGGGAUGGACUCGCGGCUUAUCAGCUUGUUGGUGGGGUAGUGGCUUACCAAGGCUUUGACGGGUAGCCGGCCUGAGAGGGUGACCGGCCACAUUGGGACUGGGAUACGGCCCAGACUCCUACGGGAGGCAGCAGUGGGGAAUAUUGCACAAUGGGCGGAAGCCUUAUGCAGCAACGCCGCGUGCGGGAUGACGGCCUUCGGGUUGUAAACCGCUUUCGCCUUUGACGAAGCGUGAGUGACGGUAAUGGGUAAAGAAGCACCGGCUAACUACGUG
rnacentral:rRNA from 1 species